AAUAGGUAAAGCCUCCAAAACAA
rnacentral:snRNA from 1 species